rnacentral:rRNA from 1 species
GACGAACGCUGGCGGCGUGCCUAAUACAUGCAAGUCGAACGCAGUGGGGACGGGUGAGUAACACGUGGGUAACCUCCCAUCAGAGGGGAUAACCCUUGGAAACAGGUGCUAAACCGAUACUGAUGGAUGAACCCGCGGUGCAUUAGCUAGUUGGUGAGGUAACGGCCCACCAAGGCCACGAUGCAUAGCCGGCAUGAGAGGGUGAUCGGCCACACUGGGAAUGAGACAAGGCCCAGGCUCCUACGGGAGGGAGCAGUAGGGAAUAUUCGGAAAUGGGGGGAAAUCUGACCGAGCAACGCCGCGUGGGUGGAGAAGGUUUUCGGAUCGUAAAGCUCUGUUAAUAGAGGAGCGGUAACUAACCAGAAAGGGACGGCUAACUACGUGCCAGCAGCCGCGGUAAUUC